rnacentral:rRNA from 1 species
UACGAGUGCCUCGAGCGUUAUCCGGAAUCAUUGGGCGUAAAGGGCGCGUAGGCGGCCACCGCAAGUCGGUUGUGAAAUCUCUGGGCUUAACCCAGAAAGGUCAACCGAUACUGCGGGGCUAGAGUGCAGAAGGGGCAACUGGAAUUCUCGGUGUAGCGGUGAAAUGCGUAGAUAUCGAGAGGAACACCUGCGGCGAAGGCGGGUUGCUGGGCUGACACUGACGCUGAAGCGCGAAAGCUAGGGGAGCGAACGGG